rnacentral:rRNA from 1 species
UACGUAGGGUGCAAGCGUUGUCCGGAAUUAUUGGGCGUAAAGAGCUCGUAGGCGGUUUGUCGCGUCGGCUGUGAAAACUCGGGGCUCAACCCCGAGCCUGCAGUCGAUACGGGCAGACUAGAGUGCUGUAGGGGAGACUGGAAUUCCUGGUGUAGCGGUGAAAUGCGCAGAUAUCAGGAGGAACACCGGUGGCGAAGGCGGGUCUCUGGGCAGUAACUGACGCUGAGGAGCGAAAGCGUGGGGAGCAAAC